GAAAUGCGAUAAGUAAUGUGAAUUGCAGAAUUCAGUGAAUCAUCGAAUCUUUGAACGCACAUUGCGCCCGCCAGUAUUCUGGCGGGCAUGCCUGUUCGAGCGUCAUUUCAACCAUCAAGCCCCCGGCUUGUGUUGGGGACCUGCGGCUGCCCGCAGGCCCUGAAAACCAGUGGCGGGCUCGCUGUCACACCGAGCGUAGUAGCAUACAUCUCGCUCAGGGCGUGCUGCGGGUUCCGGCCGUUAAAAGCCUUUUUUUACCCAAGGUUGACCUCGGAUCGGGUAGGAAGACCCGCUGAACUUAAGC
rnacentral:misc_RNA from 1 species